rnacentral:rRNA from 1 species
UAAGUUCCGACCUGCACGAAUGGCGUAAUGAUGGCCAGGCUGUCUCCACCCGAGACUCAGUGAAAUUGAACUCGCUGUGAAGAUGCAGUGUACCCGCGGCAAGACGGAAAGACCCCGUGAACCUUUACUAUAGCUUGACACUGAACAUUGAGCCUUGAUGUGUAGGAUAGGUGGGAGGCUUUGAAGCGUGGACGCCAGUCUGCGUGGAGCCGACCUUGAAAUACCACCCUUUAAUGUUUGAUGUUCUAACGUGGAUCCGUAAUCCGGGUUGCGGACAGUGUCUGGUGGGUAGUUUGACUGGGGCGGUCUCCUCCUAAAGAGUAACGGAGGAGCACGAAGGUUGGCUAAUCCUGGUCGGACAUCAGGAGGUUAGUGCAAUGGCAUAAGCCAGCUUGACUGCGAGCGUGACGGCGCGAGCAGGUGCGAAAGCAGGUCAUAGUGAUCCGGUGGUUCUGAAUGGAAGGGCCAUCGCUCAACGGAUAAAAGGUACUCCGGGGAUAACAGGCUGAUACCGCCCAAGAGUUCAUAUCGACGGCGGUGUUUGGCACCUCGAUGUCGGCUCAUCACAUCCUGGGGCUGAAGUAGGUCCCAAGGGUAUGGCUGUUCGCCAUUUAAAGUGGUACGCGAGCUGGGUUUAGAACGUCGUGAGACAGUUCGGUCCCUAUCUGCCGUGGGCGCUGGAGAACUGAGGGGGGCUGCUCCUAGUACGAGAGGACCGGAGUGGACGCAUCACUGGUGUUCGGGUUGUCAUGCCAAUGGCACUGCCCGGUAGCUAAAUGCGGAAGAGAUAAGUGCUGAAAGCAUCUAAGCACGAAACUUGCCCCGA